GGAAUAUAAGAACAUGUCUCUUAAUUUUUAAUUAAAAAAGCUAAGAACUGGCUCUUAAAUAAGAUAUUUAAGAGCCGGUUCUUAACUUUUUUAGUUAAAAGUUAAGAAACGGGUUCUUAUAUUCC
rfam:Brassica napus, WGS project CCCW01000000 data, contig: 14176